rnacentral:rRNA from 1 species
GCUAAGAAUAUUCCGCAAUGGACGAAAGUCUGACGGAGCGACGCCGCGUGGAUGAGGAAGGCCGAAAGGUUGUAAAGUCCUUUUGUCGAUGAAGAAUAAGUGGUGGAGGGAAUGCCAUCAUGAUGACGUUAGUCGGCGAAUAAGCCCCGGCUAAUUACGUGCCAGCAGCCGCGGUAACACGUAAGGGGCAAGCGUUGUUCGGAAUUAUUGGGCGUAAAGGGUACGUAGGCGGUUAUGUAAGCCCGGCGUGAAAUCCUGCAGCUUAACUGUAGAGCUGCGCUGGGAACUGCGUAACUUGAGUCAUGGAAGGGAAGUUAGAAUUCCAGGUGUAGGGGUGAAAUCUGUAGAUAUCUGGAAGAAUACCGGUGGCGAAGGCGAACUUCUGGCCAAUGACUGACGCUGAGGUACGAAAGUGCGGGGAGCAAACAGGAUUAGAAACCCGUGUAGUCC